CCUACGGGAGGCAGCAGUGGGGAAUUUUGGACAAUGGGCGAAAGCCUGAUCCAGCCAUUCCGCGUGAGUGAAGAAGGCCUUCGGGUUGUAAAGCUCUUUCGCAAGGGAAGAAAACUUAUAUUCUAAUAAAGUAUGAGGAUGACGGUACCUUGAUAAGAAGCACCGGCUAACUACGUGCCAGCAGCCGCGGUAAUACGUAGGGUGCGAGCGUUAAUCGGAAUUACUGGGCGUAAAGCGUGCGCAGGCGGUUUUGAAAGUCAGAUGUGAAAUCCCCGAGCUCAACUUGGGAACUGCGUUUGAAACUCCAAAGCUAGAGUAUAGGAGAGGGGGGUAGAAUUCCACGUGUAGCAGUGAAAUGCGUAGAGAUGUGGAGGAAUACCAAUGGCGAAGGCAGCCCCCUGGCCUAAUACUGACGCUCAUGCACGAAAGCGUGGGGAGCAAACAGGAUUAGAUACCCUGGUAGUCCACGCCCUAAACGAUGUCUACUAGUUGUUGGUGGAGUAAAAUCCAUUAGUAACGCAGCUAACGCGUGAAGUAGACCGCCUGGGGAGUACGGUCGCAAGNUUAAAACUCAAAUGAAAUUGACGG
rnacentral:rRNA from 1 species